ensembl:lncRNA
CAAAUAAUUUAUGACAAGUAGAGAUUUGUCUGGUAAGGAAAGAGUGUGGGGCUCCAUGGGAUGCACAGCCAUGGAGCCCCCACAUCAAGGUCGGUCUGAUAGCUGUUUCUGUGUCUUUAUCACAAGGCGGAUGUUACUAGUUUCAGUUAGGGCAAUGCUUUCUCACGGUCAGGACUUUCCAGAGGCGUUGAGAAUGUUGUAAACAACAAGAUGGUGCUGAGGACCGUGCAGUGAGCCUGCCUGCUGUAUGACACCUCAUCUGAUUGGCCCAAGGACGCAUGCACACUGUGUGAACAGACAGCGGAUUGGAGUGUUCCGUGCAUGGACUUGAGCCCGCUUGCAAUUGGCCAGAUUUUGUAUAUAAGCUGUGUGCUGAGGAAGGAGGGGGCUUUUCUGUCCACUCUCCUCCCUUCAUUCUUUCUCUGUCACUGUUAUUUUCUUAUUAAAAGUCUACUGAAGACCGAUAAGCUGCAAACAGUGUCGUUCCUUUGCGGGCAAGGGAGCGACAAGUGGUGCCAUGACUUGGAUUCGGACCACUUUGCUACACGCAGGAAUAGGUAAGGAACAAAAGACAACUAACCAUUUUACAGAUAUAGCCAAAGAUGGCGGCCUCAGCGAACAUGGCUCACUUACUGCUGCAAAACAUUUUGGACUUGGGAUUCCAUACUUCUUGAUGAUGUCCACAGACUCUUCUUCCUACUUUAUCUCGAUAUUUGAAUCUGGGACUAUUUUCCGGGAAGACUACCACAGAGCUUUUGAAGGGCACAAAGAAAAGCGGCUUCUACAGUUCGGCGACCUCCUUGUUUCGCUUCACAGCUUCCUUGUUUCAGCCUCGGCAGCUUCCUUGCUCUGGGUCACAGCCUCCUUAUUCACCUGGAUAACUUCUGGAUCUGGGACUAUUUUCCGGGAAGACUACCACAGAGCUUUUGAAAGUCACAAAGAAAAGCGGCUUCUACAGUUCGGCGACCUCCUUGUUUCGCUUCACAGCUUCCUUGCUUCAGCCUCGGCAGCUUCCUUGCUCUGGGUCACAGCCUCCUUAUUCACCUGGAUAACUUCUGGAUCUGGGACUAUUUUCCAGGCACAAAGAAAAGCAGCCUCUACAGUUCGUGUAAGUCUUCACGUUGUUACCGUUCGUGGCCUCCUCUUCUGCCUUCAUCUUAACCUUUGAAUUUGGGACUGGUUACCGCGAAAACUUCGCCUUGUGCUUAAUGACACAGGUUCUGUAGCUCCAACCGGACUCUGGAUGGGGGACUUGGAUCUUGGUGAUCCUGAAUAGCUAUGCAUGGUCAACACAAAAGCCACCAUUUACCAAAUACCAAAGACUUUACUGCGCAAAGGUAAAGGUGCUCUGUUCAACUCGCUAGACAGAGAUGGAGCUGUUGCAUCAUAUUUUCUCCCACUACCUUUUGCAACUUUUGCAAAUUGCCAAUAGGCUAACCUCACAGAAACUCCCGGGCUGGACCUCAACCAGGGUCAGACUCCCCUGCGGCUUGCUUCACGAUUCCUUCAACAGGACAGAAACAGCCAUUUCUGAUCCUUUCUUACUAAUGGAAUAAUGGGGGCAAAGAAGACCCCAGGCUCCUGUGGACUUUUUAAACAAUGAACUCUUUAAUGGACAGUGAACUCUAUUCACAGGUGCCCCUUACCCCGGGCGCCCAUCACUCCCCUCCCCUUCCUCAUCCUCUUUCAACUAAAUAAAUUUUUAAAAUGAAUAAAUUUGUAUUCUUAU